GGUUAAGCGACUAAGCGUACACGGUGGAUGCCCUGGCAGUCAGAGGCGAUGAAGGACGUGCUAAUCUGCGAUAAGCGUCGGUAAGGUGAUAUGAACCGUUAUAACCGGCGAUUUCCGAAUGGGGAAACCCAGUGUGAUUCGUCACACUAUCAUUACGUGAAUACAUAGCGUAAUGAAGCGAACCGGGGGAACUGAAACAUCUAAGUACCCCGAGGAAAAGAAAUCAACCGAGAUUCCCCCAGUAGCGGCGAGCGAACGGGGAGCAGCCCAGAGUCUGAAUCAGCUUGUGUGUUAGUGGAACGGUCUGGAAAGUCCGACGGUACAGGGUGAUAGUCCCGUACACCAAAAUGCACAGGUUGUGAACUCGAAGAGUAGGGCGGGACACGUGGUAUCCUGUCUGAAUAUGGGGGGACCAUCCUCCAAGGCUAAAUACUCCUGACUGACCGAUAGUGAACCAGUACCGUGAGGGAAAGGCGAAAAGAACCCCGGCGAGGGGAGUGAAAAAGAACCUGAAACCGUGUACGUACAAGCAGUGGGAGCAUCCUUUUGGGUGUGACUGCGUACCUUUUGUAUAAUGGGUCAGCGACUUAUAUUCUGUAGCAAGGUUAACCGUAUAGGGGAGCCGAAGGGAAACCGAGUCUUAACUGGGCGUUAAGUUGCAGGGUAUAGACCCGAAACCCGGUGAUCUAGCCAUGGGCAGGUUGAAGGUUGGGUAACACUAACUGGAGGACCGAACCGACUAAUGUUGAAAAAUUAGCGGAUGACUUGUGGCUGGGGGUGAAAGGCCAAUCAAACCGGGAGAUAGCUGGUUCUCCCCGAAAGCUAUUUAGGUAGCGCCUCGUGAACUCAUCUUCGGGGGUAGAGCACUGUUUCGGCUAGGGGGUCAUCCCGACUUACCAACCCGAUGCAAACUGCGAAUACCGAAGAAUGUUAUCACGGGAGACACACGGCGGGUGCUAACGUCCGUCGUGAAGAGGGAAACAACCCAGACCGCCAGCUAAGGUCCCAAAGUCAUGGUUAAGUGGGAAACGAUGUGGGAAGGCACAGACAGCCAGGAUGUUGGCUUAGAAGCAGCCAUCAUUUAAAGAAAGCGUAAUAGCUCACUGGUCGAGUCGGCCUGCGCGGAAGAUGUAACGGGGCUAAACCAUGCACCGAAGCUGCGGCAGCGACACUAUGUGUUGUUGGGUAGGGGAGCGUUCUGUAAGCCGUUGAAGGUGUAUCGUGAGGUAUGCUGGAGGUAUCAGAAGUGCGAAUGCUGACAUAAGUAACGAUAAUGCGGGUGAAAAACCCGCACGCCGGAAGACCAAGGGUUCCUGUCCAACGUUAAUCGGGGCAGGGUGAGUCGACCCCUAAGGCGAGGCCGAAAGGCGUAGUCGAUGGGAAACAGGUUAAUAUUCCUGUACUUGGUGUUACUGCGAAGGGGGGACGGAGAAGGCUAUGUUAGCCGGGCGACGGUUGUCCCGGUUUAAGCAUGUAGGCGGAGGUUCCAGGUAAAUCCGGUACCUUUUUAACGCUGAGGUGUGAUGACGAGGCACUACGGUGCUGAAGUAACAAAUGCCCUGCUUCCAGGAAAAGCCUCUAAGCAUCAGGUAACACGAAAUCGUACCCCAAACCGACACAGGUGGUCAGGUAGAGAAUACCAAGGCGCUUGAGAGAACUCGGGUGAAGGAACUAGGCAAAAUGGUGCCGUAACUUCGGGAGAAGGCACGCUGAUAUGUAGGUGAAGUGAUUUACUCAUGGAGCUGAAAUCAGUCGAAGAUACCAGCUGGCUGCAACUGUUUAUUAAAAACACAGCACUGUGCAAACACGAAAGUGGACGUAUACGGUGUGACGCCUGCCCGGUGCCGGAAGGUUAAUUGAUGGGGUUAUCCGUAAGGAGAAGCUCUUGAUCGAAGCCCCGGUAAACGGCGGCCGUAACUAUAACGGUCCUAAGGUAGCGAAAUUCCUUGUCGGGUAAGUUCCGACCUGCACGAAUGGCGUAAUGAUGGCCAGGCUGUCUCCACCCGAGACUCAGUGAAAUUGAACUCGCUGUGAAGAUGCAGUGUACCCGCGGCAAGACGGAAAGACCCCGUGAACCUUUACUAUAGCUUGACACUGAACACUGGUCCUUGAUGUGUAGGAUAGGUGGGAGGCUUUGAAGUGUGGACGCCAGUCUGCAUGGAGCCAUCCUUGAAAUACCACCCUUUAAUGGCUGGUGUUCUAACGUGGACCCGUAAUCCGGGUUGCGGACAGUGUCUGGUGGGUAGUUUGACUGGGGCGGUCUCCUCCUAAAGAGUAACGGAGGAGCACGAAGGUUAGCUAAUCCUGGUCGGACAUCAGGAGGUUAGUGCAAAGGCAUAAGCUAGCUUGACUGCGAGAGUGACGGCUCGAGCAGGUGCGAAAGCAGGUCUUAGUGAUCCGGUGGUUCUGAAUGGAAGGGCCAUCGCUCAACGGAUAAAAGGUACUCCGGGGAUAACAGGCUGAUACCGCCCAAGAGUUCAUAUCGACGGCGGUGUUUGGCACCUCGAUGUCGGCUCAUCACAUCCUGGGGCUGAAGUAGGUCCCAAGGGUAUGGCUGUUCGCCAUUUAAAGUGGUACGCGAGCUGGGUUUAGAACGUCGUGAGACAGUUCGGUCCCUAUCUGCCGUGGGCGCUGGAGAAUUGAGGGGGGCUGCUCCUAGUACGAGAGGACCGGAGUGGACGCAUCACUGGUGUUCGGGUUGUCAUGCCAAUGGCAUUGCCCGGUAGCUAAAUGCGGAAGAGAUAAGUGCUGAAAGCAUCUAAGCACGAAACUUGCCCCGAGAUGAGUUCUCCCUGAGACUUUAAGUCUCCUGAAGGAACGUUGAAGACGACGACGUUGAUAGGUCGGGUGUGUAAGCGUAGCGAUACGUUGAGCUAACCGAUACUAAUGAACCGUGAGGCUUAACCUU
rnacentral:rRNA from 1 species